CUACAUUUUAUUUGUCGUAUGUAACUAGUAAGCUACAUUUAAGUGCUUGCUCUUAAGACAUAACAAAAUUCCAGACAAAAGUAAUACUAUACUAUAUUGUUAUCUCCCUAUUCCUAAUGUGGUAUGCAAUCCUGUUUUGAGUUACUCUGCUGCUGGUUCUUUGGGAGUUUGGUUCCAACAGAAUGUUACAUUUCUCACUUUCUCUCUCUCUCUCAGAGAGAUGAGGAGGUACGUCAGAAGGAGGAGAGCAAGAGAGUGGAGGAGGAGAGGCAAAGGGUGAAAAGAGAGCAAAAAGAGAGGGAUGAAAAGGAGGCUGCAGAGAGAGAAAUGAGGGCAAAGGAGAGAACCUCUCAAAUCGACCAGGCAAAGACUUACCAGAAGCAGCAGGAGUCAGGGUAUAGAGACCAGGAACAACAUCAGCCGGUGAGCCUUUUAUGUGGUACUAUGUGUGAUUUCUAUGCAUUGCACAAAAUGCUUUUGUGAGUUGCAGUAUUCCAAACUUAUUUGAGUGUGUGUGUUUUUGUGUGUGUGUCUGCUUUUUAGGAGCAGCAGGACAGUGAGCGUCAGAACUCUCAGAGGAUAAGACCUGCAUCUGUACAAAAAGCAAACGUGAGAGUCCGCACUCACUGUGUGUGUGUGUUUGUGUGUUCAAUAUGUCAUAAUUUACUGAACUGUGUGUGUGUGUGUGUGUGUGUGUGUGUGUGUGUGUGUGUGUGUCAGGAGGCAGCACGUCUGAUCUCCCAAAGGUCCUUGAACCCCAGAGAGCUGUUUAAAAAGAGAGAGCAGAGUGCCUCACUGGACAACACGCCCAGCUCCAGACCUGGGAAGCUGCAGAGCCACUUCCUGACUCAGAAGUCCACUGAGAGAGAAACACCCAACGAACCACGUUCCCCACAAUACCCUGCUUUUCUUCACCCAGAAGCCCUGGCUUCACUGCUCCCAAAAACACCUGCUCUGCUCUCAGAGCCCAAGGCACAGGCAGCCCCACUCUCACCUGUCCAACCCGCAGAGUCUUCCUUCACUGAAGAGGAGUACUGGUCAGAUGAUUUUGAUGAUGAUACACAGGACACAGCACCAGAGGACGAGCCAACAGUUGCCGGCCUGGUUCAGGGUAGAGAGAGGCACAUUGACCUAGAUGAGGUAUACGAGCUCCUGCCAUUGGCAGCAACAAAUGAGGAGGAUAACAUUUAUGAUGAUAUCUACCAGGACACACCCACAGUGCUGGAGCAGAGAGAGGAGGCCAGUGGACAGGAUGUGCGUGCCAGGGCUCUGUAUGACUACCAAGCCAGUGAGUGUUGCCCAGCUCUGGGUUCAAAUCAAGUCCCUCUCUUUUUCUCAUUUCAUCUUCUUUCAUCUGAUCCUUCUUUGCUUUUCUAA
rnacentral:lncRNA from 13 species